ensembl:lncRNA
GCAGGAGCCCAUGAGAAACAGCUGUAGCGUCCGUGCCACUUGCUCGCGCGAGCCGAGGCCUGUUAAGAAUCGCGUGUAUUUCUGUUCGUUUGCGACGCCCGCGUUCAAUUCCGGUUAUCGUCCGGCGCGUUGAGUCAGACUCCGGCCGCGAAACGCCACGCUGAUCCGACGCUUGUGGCGAGCGGCUCCGGCGCGGCACCACGUGCGGCCCCCGCGUGCUAGCCGAGCGCUCUGUUGCGUACGCCUGGGAAGACAACAGCACGCUUUGUCCCGGGUGAAGGUGACUCCGUGUUUGCUCGCACGUCCCCGGUGAGGACGGCUUCCUCGGACUUUGUGUUUCGUACAAAGAAGAAGAAAGAGGAAACUUUGAGCCUGACUGUGCCGUUGAUACUAGUAUCUAGAGUGCAGCCUGAUCGGGGCUGUCACAUGAUUACACUCGCGUGAACUGGCAGGAAACUGCUGCGGAGCUGCAGCAGGCAGAGACGUUGGCCUCAUGAGAGAGAGUGUGUGUGUGUGUGUGUGUGUGUGUGUGUGGGGAUGGGCACUAAAUGCGCAGCUCGCUCACUCCUACGGCUUAGCUCAAGUUUAGCUUAUCGCUGUCGGUUUGUUGUCUCCGUUAUUCAAAAGGACACCUUAUCAGCCGGGGGCGACUCGUAUUAGCCUUCUCCACUGUGCGCUCCACACAAUGAUGUUCUACACUGUUCCACAUUAACUCUGGUGUCUAUUUCAGCAGCUCUCUAUCCAUUUAUUGAUGCAUGUCUUCCAUCGAUCCCGCCAUUGAUUCGUCAUGCAAUCCAUUACCCAUCUGUCUGUUUCAGCUGGCUUUUAAAUGAUCCAUCAGAUUGAGCUAUUAAGCAGAGUAGUGGAGAAGUCCAAAGGUUGGUGAUACAUUCAGCGAGAGAGGGGUGCUCUGUGUGUGUGUGUGUGUGUGUGUGUGUGUGUCUUGGGUAUUGGUACAUUGGAAUUAUUUCAGGCCUUUCAAAGUGUGCUGUGAUUUGAUAUUUAACCAAUUGUGAUAGUGAGUGUGGACCUUAUGAACAGAACUCAUUACAGAGGAAUAUACAGGGCUUGAUGUUGAAGAUAAAUAAAUUGAAACUAUGUGAGUUGAUUUGUGCUCUUGUUUGCUAUGGCUUCGCCUGAAAUGAAGAUAAUUCAUCUACCAAAUCUUGUUUUUUUUUUAUAUGGGCACAAACUCGAAUAUGAAAACAACAAUUGGUGGUUCACUGGAAGCUGCAUGAAGCUGUUUCCUAGCAGCUAAGUGUCUCCUGGCUCAAGCUUCAUACUCAAUGGACAGAUAAGAGUCCUCUGCAGAAUCAUUUUUCUGACUAUUCCUUCAAUCUCAACGGUUCUCUAUGGUUUGAACAAAUUGUAAGAGGCUGAAGCUCAUGAAAACCUCUCUGAUUUCAGAUAAUCUCAAAAACGCUUCGUCCUCACGUUAAAAAAACAGGUCGUGUUUAUUUUCCUGUUGGAGGAAAAACGUCCUGUAUAACUGAUCUGGAAAUGUAUUUUUGUAUAAACGGACAAAGUAUUCUGAAAUUGUUUCAUACAUUCUUUAACCAUGUUCUGCUUUUUUUUUUAGGGUGAGCCUUUAAUCUGCCUGUAAGAACACACUUUCAGGAAACAAGAAAAUGCCACCAGCCAAACGGAGACGUGGGGGGCUGAGACGGCGGCUGUUCCAGAUAGAGAUGCGAGAUGGAUUCAUAUAUAUUCAUGAAUUCAGUCAGAAAAGUCAAACGGAAGCAGUAUGAUAAUCUUGCAGUAAUUGCAUUUUUCCCUCCAACUGUUUUUGGCAGAGCAGAGAGCCACGUUCAGACACGCGGGAUGGGGAAUACAGUCUCGAGGAGCCGUGAACAGUGGAUACCCUCUGACCCCCGUACCUAAGAUUCAUUUGAUGUCCUGACCUCUGACUGAAGAACUUUUUAAUUUUCUGACUGUGCACUCUUUCUCUUCCGGGCCCCAGGAAAUGCCUUACAAAAAAAAAAAAAAAAAAGAAACAUUCAAAGGACCAUAUUUCAAACUAUCAAGCUUUUUUUUCUCUCCAUACAUGUCAGUCUGCUGUCAGCAGCCGUCUGAAAAGUGCUGACAUUGC